rnacentral:rRNA from 1 species
UACGUAGGGGGCGAGCGUUGUCCGGAAUUAUUGGGCGUAAAGAGCUCGUAGGCGGCUUAGUAAGUCGGCGGUGAAAUACCGAGGCUCAACCUCGGCACUGCCGUCGAUACUGCUAUGGCUAGAGUUUGGUAGAGGAGAACGGAAUUCCCGGUGUAGUGGUGAAAUGCGUAGAUAUCGGGAGGAACACCAGUGGCGAAGGCGGCUUCCUGGCCUGUUCUUGACGCUGAGGCGCGAAAGCUAGGGGAGCAAACGGG